UACGUAGGGGGCAAGCGUUGUCCGGAAUUAUUGGGCGUAAAGAGCGUGUAGGCGGUCCGAUAAGUCGGCUGUGAAAGUCCAGGGCUCAACUCUGGAAUGCCGGCCGAUACUGUCGGACUAGAGUCCGGAAGAGGUGAGUGGAAUUCCCGGUGUAGCGGUGAAAUGCGCAGAUAUCGGGAGGAACACCAAUGGCGAAGGCAGCUCACUGGGACGGCACUGACGCUGAGACGCGAAAGCGUGGGGAGCGAACAGG
rnacentral:rRNA from 1 species